rnacentral:rRNA from 1 species
GAUGAACGCUAGCGAUAGGCCUAACACAUGCAAGUCGAGGGGCAGCAUGAUUGUAGCAAUACAAUUGAUGGCGACCGGCGCACGGGUGAGUAACACGUAUGCAACCUACCUACAACAGGGGACUAACCCGGAGAAAUUCGGGCUAAUACCGCAUAACACAGGGAUUCCGCAUGGAAAUAUUUGUUAAAGAUUUAUCGGUUGUAGAUGGGCUGGCGUUCCAUUAGCCGGUUGGUGAGGUAACGGCGCACCAAAGCAACGAUGGAUAGGGGAACUGAGAGGUUUAUCCCCCACACUGGAACUGAGACACGGACCAGACUCCUACGGGAGGCAGCAGUGAGGAAUAUUGGUCAAUGGGCGAGAGCCUGAACCAGCCAAAUCGCGUGAAGGACGACUGCCCUAUGGGUUGUAAACUUCUUUUAUAUGGGAAUAAAAAGGGGAACGUGUUCCCCAUUGCGAGUACCAUACGAAUAAGCAUCGGCUAACUCCGUGCCAGCCGCCGCGGUAA